CAACAGAAUCACAUCCCGGACUUAGAUAUCGAUUUCUAUCUGGCAGAUGCAGUACUCAUCGGAUCUCCUUAAUGGUGCCUUUACAGUAGAUUUCAAGUUUGAUUUAAUCAAAUCUGAUUCUAUGAGUUCAUCAGAUUGUAUCGGUUCUUCUACCUGUCGAACUUUAUAAGUUUUGCAUUAAAGGCAUCAGUAUCUUAACCAA
rnacentral:lncRNA from 1 species